AUCAACGCUGGCGGCGUGCCUCAGACAUGCAAGUCGAACGAUUAAGACUCUCUUCGGAGAGUGUAUAAAGUGGCGCACGGGUGAGUAACACGUAGGUAAUGUGCCUUUGGGUGGGGAAUAACUUAGGGAAACUUAAGCUAAUACCGCAUAAUGCAGCGGCUCGACAUCGAGACAGUUGUUAAAGAUUUAUCGCCUAAAGAGCAGCCUGCGGCAGAUUAGCUAGUUGGUAAGGUAAUGGCUUACCAAGGCUACGAUCUGUAACCGACCUGAGAGGGUGGUCGGUCACACUGACACUGAAUAACGGGUCAGACUCCUACGGGAGGCAGCAGUCGGGAAUUUUGGGCAAUGGGCGAAAGCCUGACCCAGCAACGCCGCGUGAAGGAUGAAGUAUUUCGGUAUGUAAACUUCGUAAGAAUAGGAAGAAUAAAUGACGGUACUAUUUGUAAGGUCCGGCUAACUACGU
rnacentral:rRNA from 1 species